ensembl:lncRNA
GUGAGAAGGGAGGGGGCGGGCUCCGCGGGCUCCCCUCAUUUGGCGGGGCGGAGUCCCCGCGGGACCCCGGUGUCCCUGCCGCGGUGAACUGGACCGCCGGGAGGACGGGGCGAGCUGCGGCGUCCGUGCCCGGCAGGCACCGAUCCCGGCUCGGCACUGGACUGUUUCCUCCCCGAGUGCGGGGUGUUGGGGUGGGGAGACCCCAGGACAUCCCGAAGCGUCCCUGAAAUGUUAAGCCGGGUUGAACUUAGUUCGUGCAUCCGCGCAAUGAAAAGGGGAGAGACCGGCUCUGUGCGGUACGCGACCCCCCCUCCCCCUGCAUUUUGUUUUCCCCUUGGUCAGUUUUGCACCUACGGUGAUGGAUUCUCAUUUUCUUUAGGACUAUUAAAAUGUAAUCUGGAACAUCAGUUUUACAUUGUUGCACUUGUGUUGGAGGUUCGCGUUUAUUAGCAUAUAUAUUGUAUUUAAAGGCAGUGUAAUUAGAAAGUGCUAUCUCGUUACGCGAUUGUUUGAAGCAUUCAGCAGAACAAAGUUAAUCUUUUAUUAAGCAGUCUUACUGGGACAUUUUGUGACUUUCUUAAAAAGCACCAUAUCUUCUGCGAAUUAUUCCUUUGACUUGUGUUUUGUCAAAGUUGUUAAGGCUUGGUCUGCUAAACUUAGCAAAGGCUUUGUUUUUUUGAAGGAAAGAUAAAAAGAAAACAAAAGAAAAUGUACUAAGGCACAUAGCAGCAACUUUCCAGUUCUCUGAUUUGGAAUUUAGAGCCAGAACUGAUGCAUUAGUUUGUCUUAGUAAAGUAGAAAACAAAACAAAACUCUGGUGUGCUUGGGUGCAGAUAGUUGAAUAUUAUCCUUUGCCCUACUACUUUUUAAGAAUUGUUUGCAAUUUCUAAAAAUUUUCUUGCUUACUGAGCACUCCUAAACCUCCCAACUUGCAAGGGUGUAGUUUCAUCUACUUAGUCUUAAAUUUCUAGCAGUCAUCAUGAUACUUUUUCUGUAAGAAAGGGACAAGUCUUUUUUCAGUGUUGCAUAACUAAAGUGAUUUCCCCACCCCUCUCAUAUGCUAAGCGAAAAUUCAACUUUGUUCUGGUUAUCAGAAGGUGCUCUUCUUCUGUAGAUAGAAGAAACCUGUGGCAGUUUAAACUAUUAAGCCACGUUGCUUUCAAUUGCAGUGGGACGUUUAUACUUUAAGCCUACUUAACUGGCUUAGAAAAGAAAAGGCAUUGCACAGAUAAAGUUGAUUAUGGACACUAUCAGAGCUUUCAGGUUCUUGACCCAAGCCUAAAGUUGGUUAUUUUACAUUAAUUAAUAUUAAACUUUUAGAUUACCAAAGUAACCCUUUUAGGAAGAGGCUUUUACAGAUCUUUUCGUGGCUGUCUGUAAAUCCUACAGUUCACCUAGGCACCCUGUGUUUCUAAGAGUCCCCAUUUCAAACAUUGUGGUCCAUUGGCAGACCAAUGUCUUGUGUUGGGGCCCAGAAACUCUAUUUAUCCUUACAAUGCCCAAUCCAAUGGCAUGCAUGUAGUAGUUGAUAAAUAAACGCUUCUUGAAAUUUUUAAGGAAAUUAACUGAAUGCUACUUUUUCAGUCACUGGAAUUUGAUUCCAUAAGGCCUCCAACAUAGUCUUUAAGAUACUACUAAAUCCCUGGCCCUUGAAUUUUUAAAUUUUGUAAGUUUUAUCCUCAAGACUUAUGGUUUGUUAUUUUUUCAUAACUGCUUAUUCAUGUGUUAUGGUUGCAGCAUACUCCCUUAUCUCUUCGAGGGUAUUAGUUAUAACAUUUUAAAGUUUAUUCUAUUUGCUGUUUAUUUUUUUUAUUUUUUUGUUUUUGUUUUUUGGUAUUGGGGAUUGAACUCUGGUCUUUGCGCCGAAACCACUGAGCUAAAUCCCUGGCCCUAUUUGCUGUUUAUUGAAUUCAUUUUUUGUUAUGGUGUAGAUAAAGUCAGUAAAGUGUACAAAAUCUUUAAGUGUCAAGCUUGAUGGAUUUUAUGUUUCUCUGCUCCCGUGUAACCACCACCCAAACC